rnacentral:rRNA from 1 species
UGAGGAAUAUUGGUCAAUGGACGGAAGUCUGAACCAGCCAAGUAGCGUGCAGGAUGACGGCCCUAUGGGUUGUAAACUGCUUUUGUAUGGGGAUAAAGUCAAUCACGUGUGAUUGUUUGCAGGUACCAUACGAAUAAGGACCGGCUAGUUCCGUGCCAGCAGCCGCGGUAAUACGGAAGGUCCAGGCGUUAUCCGGAUUUAUUGGGUUUAAAGGGAGCGUAGGCUGGAUAUUAAGUGUGUUGUGAAAUGUAGACGCUCAACGUCUGACUUGCAGCGCAUACUGGUUUCCUUGAGUACGCACAACGUUGGCGGAAUUCGUCGUGUAGCGGUGAAAUGCUUAGAUAUGACGAAGAACUCCGAUUGCGAAGGCAGCUGACGGGAGCGCAACUGACGCUUAAGCUCGAAGGUGCGGGUAUCAAACGGGAUUAGAUACCCUGGUAGUCCGCACAGUAAACGAUGGAUGCCCGCUGUUGGUACCUGGUAUCAGCGGCUAAGCGAAAGCAUUAAGCAUCCCACCUGGGGAGUACGCCGGCAACGGUG